AGGAGGAACAACCCCAGUGGCGGCGGCCCUCUAUGGAGCCCUGGAUUCAGCUCCUGCAGUAACUCUGGAGCUCUCUGUCUGCAGGGGCCUGGAUGCUCCGGGGGCAG
rnacentral:pre_miRNA from 1 species